GUCGGAUGCAUUUAAAAAAACUAAAUCAAUAAACACAGUAGAUGUGAAAUAGUGAGCAUCUGAGGAAUGUCUGUUUUUAUUAGUACUCUAAAAUAAUUAGUGCCUUCUAUUUCUUUAUUCCUGUCUCUAACAAAAUCCUGAAAUGGAGCUGCUGAGUUCCUGUUAUUAGUUUACUCAAGGGUGCACAGUUAAAGGCUACCUUAUAGCACUCUUGGGAAAAUGCAUCAAAACUAGUGUAAAAUGCUUAUGAAAUUAUGUUUGUGCACAGCGAAUAUUAGUAGUAUUAUCCUGCAUUUAGAAAGCACCAACAUAAAGAUAGAAACAUAUAAACAUAUCAUAGUGAACACUGGGGUUUAUCUAAACACAUCAUAAAAUACUUGUAACAGAAG